rnacentral:snRNA from 1 species
AUAACCAUUCAAAGCUUUAGU